UAAACUCCUCCACGUCUUUCUCAAAUGACCCCUCAGGCGCUUCUUUCUGAACAGGUUCUUCCUCAACCACAGCUUGCUUCCCCUUUGCUUUGGCGAGAGCUUCAGCAUUAUUGUCCCUCAAAGGCUGCGGUGCGAACAGACGACCGCUUCUGGUAAAACCUCCUGGACCCCCUACAUUAUCCACAGCCGGACCAACAGUUGCAGGAACUCUAUUCGGUAAACCAAUUGUCACUGGAG
rnacentral:lncRNA from 1 species